CGCACGGGUGAGUAACACGUAUGCAACCUGCCUGCCACAGCCGGAUAAUCGGGAGAAAUUCCGUCUAAUACGGCAUAAUGCAUCGACGGGACAUCCUGUUGGUGCCAAAGGUUAAUUCCGGUGGCGGAUGGGCAUGCGUCGCAUUAGUUGGCGGUGUAACGGACCACCAAGACGACGAUGCGUAGGGGUUCUGAGAGGAAGGUCCCCCACACUGGUACUGAGACACGGACCAGACUCCUACGGAAGGCAGCAG
rnacentral:rRNA from 1 species